rnacentral:rRNA from 1 species
CGCAAGUAAGUAAGAUCCCUCAAAGACGAUGAGGUAGAUAGGUUCGAGGUGGAAGUGUGGUGACACAUGGAGCUGACGAAUACUAAUCGAUCGAGGACUUAACCAA